rnacentral:rRNA from 1 species
GGCUCAGAACGAACGUUGGCGGCGUGCUUAACACAUGCAAGUCGAACGAGAACGUCCCGGCUUGCCGGGAUUAGUAAAGUGGCGCACGGGUGAGUAACACGUGAGUAAUUUCCCUCUAAGCUUGGGAUAACACUGCGAAAGCGGUGCUAAUACCGAAUAAGACCACGGUAUCACAUGAUACAGUGGGAAAAGGUGGCCUCUGUAUAUGCUAUCACUUGGAGAUAAGCUCGCGGACCAUUAGCUUGUUGGUAGGGUAACGGCCUACCAAGGCCAAGAUGGUUAGCUGGUCUGAGAGGAUGAUCAGCCACACUGGAACUGAGACACGGUCCAGACUCCUACGGGAGGCAGCAGUGGGGAAUAUUGCGCAAUGGGGGAAACCCUGACGCAGUGACGCCGUGUGAGUGAUGAAGGUUUUCGGAUCGUAAAGCUCUGUCAGAUGGGAAGAAUAAAGGCAGGGAAAAUAUUUCUGCCUGAUGACGUACCAUCAGAGAAGCACCGCUAACU